GUAAGCAUCUUUAUACGUGAGUGAGGGUAUUCACAUACAUAUUGCAUAAGGUACCUGGUCAAAUUAUCUUUAGAGCAUUUCGGUGAAGAGAACGCUCCGAACAAACUCUCUUCCGUGUCUUCUCCUCCUCCAUUUCUGCCUUCCGCAGAAAUAGAAGGCGAUACCAGCCGUUCAGGACGACAAGUCCACAAAUAGCCACUGCAGGUGUACAAAUACCUCCUCCGCUAUCUUCUUCCUCAUUCCAACAGCAACACGAGCUCAGUGCGUGCACGCACACUAAAUCUUAUAUAGCCGGACAUCCAAAGUCGAGGUAGACGAUUACCAUGGCAAUCGCGAAGACCAGCUACUUGGCGAUCGCUUGCCUGUGCUUGCUUCUACUGACAGCACCGGCAACGUCCGAUACUAUGUCGCCGGCAGCGACGUCGGAUGGUCUCUCGCCGCCGAGUGAAACCGUCUCCUCCAGCUCCAACGCAUGUCUUCACCAGUGCGUCGCAGCGGGCAACUGGAGAGCGUUUUGCAAUAUCAGAUGCUUCCUCGGGGCGGGCGGCGACGCGAAAACUGCCGAUGAAUCAGGCGACGCCAAGAGUCCGUGAAGAGUUCUCUUUCUUGCUAUGAUACGAUCAAUGAAUAACAAGUGUCUAAGAGCUGAUCGGUCUCCCUGUGAUCUCUACUCGGCCGAGGCAUUUCAUCGUCUUACAAGUUAUCGUUGUAAAAUUCUUUUUCUUAUUGAAAUUUCAUGGACGUCCCCCAAGUUUA